rnacentral:rRNA from 1 species
UACAGAGGUCUCAAGCGUUGUUCGGAUUCAUUGGGUUUAAAGGGAGCGUAGGCGGUCUUGUAAGUCAGUGGUGAAAUCUUUGGGCUUAACCCAGAAACUGCCAUUGAUACUGCAGGACUUGAGUACAGAUGCUGUGGGCGGAAUAUGACAUGUAGUGGUGAAAUACAUAGAGAUGUCAUAGAACACCGAUUGCGAAGGCAGCUCUCAAAACUGUAACUGACGCUGAGGCUCGAAAGUGUGGGGAUCAAACAGG